rnacentral:tRNA from 1 species
AUGGUUAUUCCUCUUUAGG